UGGGAGCUGGGGCAAGAAAGAAUAUAUAGCACUGUAAUAUACAUACACAGAUAUUUCUAAUUUUGUUUUGAAGUUUCCUGGGAAAUUCCGUCCAAAAGGCAAAAUCAAAGACAAGGAAGGUAAGCGAAAGGAAGGUAGCUGGAUUUUGAUCAAUCCCAGCAACAUUCCCUCUCCAACUCUCCUAUUCUCUGCCAGGCCAGCCAUCAUCAUCAUCAUCAUCUGUGGAAACAAAAGACUUGCCCAAUGCAUCAUAUUGAUGCAUUGCCGUCAUCACAGGCAAUGCGUCCAAUGCCUUUUUAGGAGAAUCUCCAGACAAUUACACACAAGACGGCCGCUCCUCCCAGGAAUUCGGAACCCAUCAUUCUCGUCUGCCUGCCCAGCCCUGUUUCUUGUCGCCCACUCCAAUUGAUCAAGGAAAAAACUCCAUGAUUCUUAACCUCUCCACUUUUCUGAUUUGUUAGAUUGGUUCUGCCGUCUUCCUCUCGAGUGGUAUACUAAUCCCCGUGACAGAAAGUUUGCGUAUUUAUCGUCAUGAUGGCCCAACAAAAACCCAGACCAAGAAAGAGGCUUUAUCAAGUUUGGAAGGGGAACAAUAGAUUCUUCUGUGGAGGAAGAUUAAUCUUUGGACCAGAAGUGGCAUCUUUGCUGGUAUCGACGGCCCUGAUCGCAGUCCCUGCAAUUGCAUUUUGUAUCAAAGUUUACUUCAUUAUUAGACAUCACAUUAAAGAAGGCAAACCCGCCAUUUCUUGGUAUCCCGUGCUUGUCAUAGGAUCACUUCUCACCUUGCUGGAUAUAACUUUUCUCUUCUUAACCUCGAGUAGAGAUCCUGGAAUUGUCCCUAGAAAUUCUUCGCCACCUGAAUCAGUUGAAGCAUAUGAUCUGAACACUCCUUCCAUGGAGUGGGUCAGUGGCAGAACUCCUCAUUUGAAACUGCCCCGAUCAAUGGAUGUGAUCGUGAAUGGGCAUGCAGUUAAGGUCAAAUACUGUGACACUUGCCUACUUUAUCGACCUCCCCGUGCAUCUCACUGCUCCAUCUGCAACAACUGUGUCCAGAGAUUUGAUCAUCACUGUCCUUGGGUUGGUCAAUGCAUUGGACUUCGCAAUUACCGUUUCUUUUACAUGUUUAUAUCAACAUCAACCGUCUUAUGCCUAUAUGUAUUUGGGUUCUCUUGGAUCAACAUUCUGCGAAGAAAAGGCGGUAUCUGGAGGGCUAUUUCACAAGAUAUAUUAUCAGAUUUUCUAAUUGUGUAUUGCUUCAUUGCCCUGUGGUUUGUCGGUGGCCUUUCAGUUUUCCAUUUCUAUCUGAUCAGCACAAACCAGACAACAUACGAGAACUUCAGGUAUAGAUAUGAUAGGAGGGAGAAUCCAUAUAACAAGGGAAUAUUUAGUAAUUUCAAAGAAGUUUUCUUCUCGAAGAUCCCAUCUUCAGUGAUUGAUUUCCAGGGACUAGUUUUGGAGGAUGAGCAUAUGGUGGUAGAGCCUACAAAUUUGGAUGAUGUAGAAGGCGUUACAAGUUCAAAAGAGAAAAUUGAUAUUGAGAUGGGAACUAAGCUUGUAGAAGAGGGUGGCAUCUCAAUUCCUGAAAUUUUGCGAAACUUGAGUUUUGAUCACUUUGAGGAUGAUAUCAGGAGCAAGGAGAGGGAACUCAAUGGUUCUGAUCCUUCAAUAUUUGUUCUUGAGCAAGAGUCAAAAGAUUCUCCAAGGAGAUCCACAAUAAGAGAUGAAAAGGCUGAUCCUGAACCACAUUUGUUUGUUGUCGAACAAGAACUAAAAGACUCUCCCAGGAGCUCCACAACCAAUAAUGGGGUUAAGGGGAAGGACAACGUUGAUGACUUAUCUGGCUUCACUUAAAGCAUGAGUGUAGUAGCUAUUCAAGUAUAAAGCCAAGGUAUUGCGAGCAAAAACUCCUUUGUCAAAUAUCAGUCAGUUGUUUAGACUGGAUAAUUCCUUUCUGUGAGAGCAUCAUUUGUUGCCUUCAGGAGGUUGCAUCAGUUUUGAAAGCUUAAGGAUUAUCUGGAUAUUGAUUGUUGCCAGAUGGUAGCGUUUAAUGUCUUUGAGAUGGCUGCAUGAGGUCCUCAAAUUUCAGACAUUGCCUUUGUGUUAUUUCUAAUGCCUGAUCAGAAUGAUUAAGGGCUUUCAGAUCUUUUAUAAUUAAACUCUUAAAUGCACAGAAACGGAUGACAGGCAUGCAAGCUUGAAUACUGUAGAACAAUCUGCCCAUGGGAGAUGUUGCCUGGAUUUGUAAAGUAUUGACACUUUCCGAGAGACUUUGUUAUUGAAGCAUUGGAAGCUGGAAAUUUCAGCCUCAAAUGCAACCAGUAGCAGGGGAAGAUGUGACUCUAUUGAGAGAAUAUCUGGAUUUUCUAUGGUGAAGGCCAGCCAUCCGAUAAGAGAUCUUACAACAUGAAUUCAAAGGAGCGGAAGGAGGCACGGGUUGUAUUUUACCAUAUGGUAGUUUUUAAAAGAUGAAUCCUAAAAGGACAGUUUAUGACGGUAGAACUCUCCUUUUCAUAAAAAUUACCAGAAAGCGUGGGUUUUUGCAAGUAAAACAUGGGACAGGUUAGUAAUGUCCACGAAACCAUGUUAACGUCGCUUCGUAAUGUAAUCAACAGGUUGGAUUACGUCCUGCAUAAUGCAGAUCUAUCCACAGAUUCACUGC